AGCCUACUAAUUACAAACUAGGGGCAGGUGCUCAUUUCAGAAGUAAUGUGGCUGGUAAACAAAGGCAGACAGGAAGUGGAACGAAAAAUAAAAGCAGGAAAUAAUACAACGUACAGGAAACAUAAUAUUGUCCAAACUGUCAUGUGGGAUCAUGAAAGGAACACACCCCCCUUACCCCAAGGAACGGAUCCUAGAUAUUCCCCAAAAAACAAAGGGAGGUGGACCUGGCAGAGGGUCACUAAAACAGCGCCCCAGCCACAAGGAACCAGAGGGACGGCCGCCAGUCCAAGCCAUGGAAGAUUUAGAUGGCGUCGGCGAGUGGAGCAACACUGCGACUGGCGGGGAGACGGACGUCCAAGGGUUGGCCACUACGACGAUACACGAGGAGGGAGUUGAGCGCAGGAUAUAAGCCUCUGCUUUUCCGGCCAAUAAGUCAGCGGUAAAUAUUGGUUUCCACAGAGCUUGGUGACUGUGCCUGUAUUUCAGAAUGUGUGUCAAAGUUCUUACCGGUGCAGUGGGAGCAUGCAGAUGAGGGAGAGGCCCCUCACCAACUGUGUACUGAUUGUUCAAGUACUGUGGAGAAGAAAGAGGAAUAUGAUAUAAUAAAAAAAAUUGUGUUUUCUUUUUCAA